UACAGAGGGUGCGAGCGUUGUCCGGAAUCACUGGGCGUAAAGGGCGCGUAGGCGGCCUGAUAAGUAGGGGGUGAAAUCCUGUGGCUUAACUGCAGGGCUGCCUCCUAGACUGUUAGGCUCGAGCACGGUAGAGGCAGAUGGAAUUCCCGGUGUAGCGGUGGAAUGCGUAGAGAUCGGGAAGAACAUCGGUGGCGAAGGCGGUCUGCUGGGCCG
rnacentral:rRNA from 1 species